UACGGGGGGAGCAAGCGUUGUUCGGAUUUACUGGGCGUAAAGGGCGCGUAGGCGGCUUAACAAGUCACUUGUGAAAUCUCCGGGCUUAACUCGGAACGGCCAAGUGAAACUGUCAAGCUAGAGUGCAGAAGGGGCAAUCGGAAUUCUUGGUGUAGCGGUGAAAUGCGUAGAUAUCAAGAGGAACACCUGAGGUGAAGGCGGGUUGCUGGGCUGACACUGACGCUGAGGCGCGAAAGCCAGGGGAGCAAACGGG
rnacentral:rRNA from 1 species